rnacentral:misc_RNA from 1 species
AGAAAAUGAAGGACCCGAUCCACUGAACAAAGAAAAUGAAGGACAAGAAAGUUUAGUGCUAGUGCAAGAGACAGUACACAGCAGGGUGCUCAUAAAAUAGCUUCAACAUUAACACAUGUUAGUUUAUGAUGAUUCCAGUAAUAUAAACAGCUGUCCCAUGAAUAAUGAGUUUUAGACACAAUCUAGCAAAGAAGAUUGAUUUAAAUAGUCUACAAAAUUCGUAGCAAUAGCCAACAAAUGCUAUUUCUAGAAAUUCGUGGUUCAAUGAAAAGAAACAUAAAAAGAGAAAGAUUAGAAAGAACCUAUAAUCAUCAUCAUACACAGGUAAAUAUGAAUUCACAAUAGCUCUGGAGAACACCUCACAGAAACCAG